GUCGGGUAAAGGCUUCGCCACCUUUGCCUGUGACUCCUACGGCCAACGGGAGGACUGGAUUGAAGAACUGCAGGAGGUCAUGCGAUCCGGCACAUAGGGUGUGCGUUGCGCCUUGUCGACCGAGCUGCCUGAUUUGAACGCUCAGUGGACGUCUCAAGGGCUCGCGCGAGAAAUCGCUUGCGGGUCCUCGUCCUUGAAUCCGCUGGGAAUGCGUGAGGCCGGGCUAACGGAGCAGCGAACACGGCGAGCUGAGCGUGGUAGAUCAGAACACAGUUCAGAGAGGUGCGGUGCGGACCUGUCGGGUCAACACUGGGGCCCACUGUAGUUUUU
rnacentral:SRP_RNA from 1 species